UUCUAGAAUCUUCUCCAAAUAUUCAAGAAUGUGAAAUAUAAAUAAGCACUGCCCUCUGCUUCUAUUUGUUUCCCUUUGCUUAUAUCUCUAAAUUCCCUGCAGUUUAUUAAAUUGACUUUGUUGACUCUGCUCAACAACCAUAAAACAAGAGAAUCCUCAGCAGGUUGGGCUUAAAACUCACCAUGUAUGCAGGCUUUCCAACCUCUUAUAAGGUCAGUGUGACUGCAGGAAUGUGAAGUCUCUUGUCACUUGGUGACCUUUGUUGUAUGCAUCAUAGCAGAUGAAAGCAGAGACAGUCCCCACCUCAUGACUGCAUCCCCAGAGCUUAGUGCUACACUAUGCACAUUGGUGCUCAAUAAAUGUGAAAUGAUAAAUGAGCAACCAGUCUCACAAUUUUCUGGAGAUUUUUUGAAAACAACAUUUUUUUAAAACUUAACCUUACAUAGAAUAUUUAAAAAGAUAAGAGCAGUAACUCAUUAGUGUAAAGUCAACCUCCAAGAAAAAUGGAGCUAUUGAUAAACAUGACAGGAAGUCAAAGAUGAGGGUUAUCAUCUUUUUAGAUUAGCCUUAACCUACUUGAAAUUGCAGUAAUUCGAAAGAGUGAUCCUGAAAUUCUGAAGGUUCCAUUGUAUGUGGUUUCAAAAACACUGUCAUAGAAUUAAGAGAGAAUGUGUUAUUGGCAUAAGAACUAUAAGAAUAGUUAGGAUCCAGCAGAUUGCAAUAGAAGUCUUUGCUACAAUUCUUUGUAAAUCUGAAAGCAAGGUUCCUGACCUAGCAAGGAAAUCAGCAGCUAAGCCUUUGAAACCACAGCAAUAUCUGACCAACCUAAAGCUUGUGUAAGUCUUCACAGCGUUGGUGCAGCUCUCUCAGGGUCAGGGACCAACCCUGGCAGGCUCCCUUGUGUGGGGGUGGAGCUUCCGUGAGCCUUCCAGUCCUGCUUCCUUGUCACGUUGACCUGUUUCAUCUAAUUGGGUUUUGGGUUUCCUCUUCUGUAAGAUGCAGGCAAAUUUCCUACUGUUCCAUGGGAACAUUGUCCGGAUGAAUUGGAACUUUGAAAAUGAAUAAAACGUCUUUAGAGGAUAUUUAACUCUUCAGCAGAAAGAUGUUAUAGAAAUGGAAGGUGUUAUUAUAAACUUUAAAAAAAAAAGUGUUACGUGAAAAUGCUGUUAGCAUUUUGAGACUGUGUCCCAUUUUGCGUCUUCUGUUUUGCUUUUGCUCCUGGAAUUUUUAGGACUGUCUUCGGGGUGUGUAGAUUGCAUUAGCACUGGGUGGGCUUUGUAACUGUGAGCCGUGCUGUCGGCCAGAGCAGACUGCUCUGCUGUUCCUGCUGUACUUCCCGAGUCUGCCCACACACUGACAUGCUGCAGAGGCUCCCUGACUGAGACAUAUGUUACAGCAGAAAAUACUUUUCCCCCAGGACUCCUAGAGGGUGUUGAAGAAUGCUUUCCUGAUUCCUGCUUCUUGAGAUAAAAGAACAUUUGGCAAAGAAAGUCUAAAUAGUUGCUUUGAAAAAAAUAAAGAAUUGAACUCAUAUUCAAAAACUAAGCCAGGUGCGAUGGCUCACACCUGUACCCCCAGCACUUUAAGAGGCCAAGAUGGAUGGAUCAUUUCAGGCUAGUUCAAGACCAGCCUGGUCAACAUACUGAGACCCCAUCUCAUUUGUUUUAAAAAAACAAAAAACAUCCAAAGGAUCCGUGACAUGCCUAUUCCUAAAUCAUCUUCUGUGAUAAUCCUUAAGCAGGUUUACCCUGUGUCUUAGUCUUCUUGGACUACUAUAACAAAAUGCCAGACUGGAUGGCUUACAUACAACAGAAAUUUUUUUCUCAUGGUUCUGAAGGCUUCAAAGUCCAAGAUCAAGGUGCCUAAAUAUUCAGUGUCUGUAAGGCCCUGCUUUUCUGGUUCGUGGACCUCACCCUCCCACUAGAAGGAGCAAAGCAGCUCUCUGGAGCCUCUGUUAUAAGGGCACUAAUACUCAUGAGGUCCCCACCCCUAUGGCCUAAUCGUCUCCCAGAGGCUUCACCUCCUGAUACCUUCACCUUAUUUCUUAGCUCAUCUUCUUGCUGUGAAAAAUUUAAAAAAAAAAAA